AACGAACGCUGGCGGCGUGGAUAAGACAUGCAAGUCGAACGGGACAACAUCUGUAGCAAUACAGGUGUUGUUUAGUGGCGAACGGGUGCGUAACACGUGGGCAAUCUGCCGAGAAGUGGGGGAGUAGCUCGCCGAAAGGACGAAUUAAUACCGCAUAUGAUCAGUGAAGACAUCUUCACGACAUCAAAGACCGGGGCGAACCUGGCGCUUCUUGAUGAGCCCGCGGCCUAUCAGCUAGUUGGUGAGGUAACGGCUCACCAAGGC
rnacentral:rRNA from 1 species